rnacentral:rRNA from 1 species
UACGUAGGGGGCUAGCGUUGUCCGGAAUCAUUGGGCGUAAAGCGCGUGUAGGCGGUCCGGUAAGUCCGCUGUGAAAGCCAGGGGCUCAACCCUUGGAUGCCGGUGGAUACUGUCGGGCUUGAGUACGGAAGAGGCGAGUGGAAUUCCUGGUGUAGCGGUGAAAUGCGUAGAGAUCUGGAGGAACACCCGUGGCGAAGGCGGCGCCCUGGUCCGUUACUGACGCUGAGACGCGAAAGCGCGGGGAGCGAACGGG